GGAUGAGUGAUCGAGCGGUUUAAGGUGCCAGUCUUGAAAACUGGUGUGUUGCAAACACCGUGGGUUCGAAUCCCACCUUAUCCA